AAUCAACGCUGGCGGCGUGCCUAACACAUGCAAGUCGAACGCGAGAGGGGCUUCGGCCCCGAUUGAGUGGCGAACGGGUGAGUAACGCGUGGGUGACCUACCUUCGAGUGGGGGAUAACGUCCCGAAAGGGACGCUAAUACCGCAUAACAUCCUGCUUUUGAAUGGGUGGAGAUCAAAGCCGGGGAUCGCAAGACCUGGCGCUUGAUGAGGGGCCCGCGUCUGAUUAGCUAGUUGGGAGGUAACGGCCCACCAAGGCAACGAUCAGUAUCCGGCCUGAGAGGGCGGACGGACACACUGGGACUGAGACACGGCCCAGACUCCUACGGGAGGCAGCAGUGGGGAAUUGUUCGCAAUGGGCGCAAGCCUGACGACGCAAACGCCGCGUGGAGGAUGAAGGUCUUCGGAUUGUAAACUCCUGUUGCCCGGGACGAAUGGCUCCGACCUAACACGUCGGAGUGUGACGGUACCGGGUGAGGAAGCCCGGCUAACUCUGUGCCAGCAGCCGCAGUAA
rnacentral:rRNA from 1 species